UACUCCUACGGGAGGCAGCAGUGGGGAAUUUUGGACAAUGGGCGCAAGCCUGAUCCAGCAAUGCCGCGUGAGUGAAGAAGGCCUUCGGGUUGUAAAGCUCUUUCAGUUGAGAAGAAAAGAUUGUAACUAAUAAUGCAAUCCAUGACGUAUCGACAGAGAGACA
rnacentral:rRNA from 1 species